rnacentral:lncRNA from 1 species
UUUUGGAUAUAACGCGCGCGUACAAAAAGAAAAAGAAGAUCAAUGAUUGGGAUUGGAAAGAACACUUUCUUGGCUAUAUUUUAAGUAUAUUGCUUAACAAAUUCUAAGCUAGAUUGAAGGAGUUAUUGGCAGUUGAAGUUAGCAUUUGGAAUCUAAGGAGUUGUAAGUGACCCAAAUUGCUAGUAGUUGUGUUUUGAGCUAUAUCUUGUGCAAUUUGACAAGAUUUUGGCUAAGAAUUUUUAAAAAUGUGUGUUAUUAUGUUGCUAAACUUU